rnacentral:rRNA from 1 species
GACGAACGCUGGCGGCGUGCUUAACACAUGCAAGUCGAACGGAAAGGCCCUGCUUUUGUGGGGUGCUCGAGUGGCGAACGGGUGGGUAACACGUGAGUAACCUGCCCUUGACUUUGGGAUAACUUCAGGAAACUGGGGCUAAUACCGGAUAGGAGCUCCUGCUGCAUGGUGGGGGUUGGAAAGUUUCGGCGGUUGGGGAUGGACUCGCGGCUUAUCAGCUUGUUGGUGGGGUAGUGGCUUACCAAGGCUGUGACGGGUAGCCGGCCUGAGAGGGUGACCGGCCACAUUGGGACUGAGAUACGGCCCAGACUCCUACGGGAGGCAGCAGUGGGGAAUAUUGCACAAUGGGCGGAAGCCUGAUGCAGCAACGCCGCGUGCGGGAUGACGGCCUUCGGGUUGUAAACCGCUUUCGCCUGUGACGAAGCGUGAGUGACGGUAAUGGGUAAAGAAGCACCGGCUAACUACGUG